rnacentral:rRNA from 1 species
GACGAACGCUGGCGGCGUGCUUAACACAUGCAAGUCGAGCGGUAAGGCCCUUUCGGGGGUACACGAGCGGCGAACGGGUGAGUAACACGUGGGUGACCUGCCCUCAGCUCUGGGAUAAGCCUGGGAAACCGGGUCUAAUACUGGAUAUGACUCCAUGACGCAUGUUGUGGGGUGAAAGCCUUGUGCGGCUGAGGAUGGGCCCGCGGCCUAUCAGCUUGUUGGUGGGGUGANGGCCUACCAAGGCGACGACGGGUAGCCGGCCUGAGAGGGCGACCGGCCACACUGGGACUGAGACACGGCCCAGACUCCUACGGGAGGCAGCAGUGGGGAAUCUUGCGCAAUGGGCGAAAGCCUGACGCAGCGACGCCGCGUGACGGAUGACGGCCU